rnacentral:rRNA from 1 species
GGGUUGUGAGGUUAAGCGACUAAGCGUACACGGUGGAUGCCCUGGCAGUCAGAGGCGAUGAAGGACGUGCUAAUCUGCGAUAAGCGCCGGUAAGGUGAUAUGAACCGUUAUAACCGGCGAUUUCCGAAUGGGGAAACCCAGUGUGAUUCGUCACACUAUCAUUAACUGAAUCCAUAGGUUAAUGAGGCGAACCGGGGGAACUGAAACAUCUAAGUACCCCGAGGAAAAGAAAUCAACCGAGAUUCCCCCAGUAGCGGCGAGCGAACGGGGAGGAGCCCAGAGCCUGAAUCAGCAUGUGUGUUAGUGGAAGCGUCUGGAAAGGCGCGCGAUACAGGGUGACAGCCCCGUACACAAAAGCGCACAUGCUGUGAGCUCGAUGAGUAGGGCGGGACACGUGGUAUCCUGUCUGAAUAUGGGGGGACCAUCCUCCAAGGCUAAAUACUCCUGACUGACCGAUAGUGAACCAGUACCGUGAGGGAAAGGCGAAAAGAACCCCGGCGAGGGGAGUGAAAAAGAACCUGAAACCGUGUACGUACAAGCAGUGGGAGCCCCACCACUAAGCCAGUGGUGAACUCCACAUACGCAUCCUUUGCUGAGGAUACGGUUAACGGAGCGAAAGCGACGUUCAACCGCAAAAGAAGCAGAGGGGGCUUAGUGGUGGGGUGACUGCGUACCUUUUGUAUAAUGGGUCAGCGACUUAUAUUCUGUAGCAAGGUUAACCGAAUAGGGGAGCCGGAGGGAAACCGAGUCUUAAUUGGGCGUUAAGUUGCAGGGUAUAGACCCGAAACCCGGUGAUCUAGCCAUGGGCAGGUUGAAGGUUGGGUAACACUAACUGGAGGACCGAACCGACUAAUGUUGAAAAAUUAGCGGAUGACCUGUGGCU